UCUCGAACCCCAGUCAACCCCAUCCCUCGUGACCUCCUCUCUCUCGCGCGAACCCUUGCUCUGCACCCCUCCCUUGCCGCCCGCCGCCUCCGGUGGCCGAUCCUGGCAACCUCAGGCAGGAAUCCCGCCGUCCUCCUCUCACCCCCACCGCCGUCGAUCCUUCCCCGGCCACCACUCUGUACCGCACCUCUCCCUCUCUCCCAUGGCACCAGAUCGGGCCGACGAGGCCAGUCCGUGACCAGAUCCGCCACCACCAUAGCGGGCCUUCUGGGUCCGCAACGUUGUCGAGCUGGAUCCGCGCCUCGUCGCACGGCCUCAUCCCCUGCGCCACGGGCUUCUACUACGUCGCCCGCGCGCGGGGAUGCGCCUUCUGGCGCACAUCCAUCAGCCACAUCCUCUGCACACCCCGACCUCAUCCCCGCACCCCAGGAGGUCGAGGACCGCAAGGACUUGGAGAUCGGCGAGAUGGAGGGCAAGCGUCGCCUGCGUUAAUCGGCGAGAUGGAGAUCGGCUGCACCACGACGGCGACGGGCCGACGCUGGUGGACUUGGAGCGCAGGUGGCGGAUCAAGCUCGUGGCGGCCAAGGGCGUGCCAUACCUGCAAGAGGACUGUCAUUCUAAGGUCAUCCAUCGCGACAUCAAGGCGGCCAACAUCCUUCUCGAUGACAACUUUGAGCCCAAGUUGCCGACUUUGGGCUGGUCAAGAUCCAGCAUGGAGAUGACAACCAUGUUUCUACCCGGGUGAUGGGGACUUUUGGGUAAGCCUAGCAUUCCAAUUUCCUUGCCGUUACGUUUACCUGUUCCUGACCUGAAUAAAACGCACCCAAUGGCAUUGACUGGUUUGGCACGUACAUGGUGCCGGAGUACACCAACACCAGGAAAAUAACCGAUCGGUCCGACGUCUUCUCCUUCGGCCUCGUGCUUCUGGAGAUCAUCACCGACAAGAGACCGAUCCUGGCCGACGAGCCCAACAAGGACGACGAGACUCUGGUCUCUUGGCAGAGGACAAGAGCUUCAUGGCCAACCAAGGCGCAUGGUGCUCGCAAGCGAUGAAUGGUGGUUGUUUGACAUAGGCACGGACGAGGAGGACGGGCACGGACGAAGGAGGACAGAGCACCUCUCUUCUUCCAGGUCAGUGAGCAGCAUCAGGAGGAGGAGCUCAAGCACGACCACCAAGAGGCACCACCGCAGCAGCAGACUCGAAGGAGACCAUAUGCAAGGCACCUCCUCUUCGGUUGUGAGAGUGUCCAGGGGUCAUGGGUGCGGCUAAUGCCUAUGUCUGUGGCUGCACUUGACACUGCCCUCUCUUUAAGGGCACAUAUCAUUUUUUAUAACUCUGCUAUAUUUUCCCAAGUCUUUAUUAUCUUGCCUAGCCUUGUCUUGAUAUGUAUUGUUUGAUGCUAAUUACCCAAGUUAGUGCAUGAUGUUAAGGAUAACCUGAGAACACUUGCCUAAGUUUAUAAGAUAUGACAUGUCACAGUCCAAGCCUGCUGCUCUUUCAAUGCUUUUGCUGUUGUGCUUCUCUAGUUGUUUGAAUGCUUCUGCUUUUGUACCUGAUGAUAAGGACCUUUCUUUUCUCUCGUGGGUUAAAAUAAUGGUGUGUGUGGAAGGUUCUCUUGCUGUAUGUGAAUAGCAGUCUGAUGUUACUUGGCAAAUAUUUUUUAUAUGAUACGAGGGAAGAGCUACUAUCAUGUGCAUGGAAGGUUUUCAAGUGAGCACUUGUUUGUUUGUUUAGUACUUAUGUAGUAUGGGAAAUAUGUAUAGGUAUGUCCAUGUGAUUUUUAAGCAUGCUUACUGCCUACCUGAUACAGAGUUCUGUAACUGAUGUUCUUUAUUUGAUAGUCUAUAGCCUCUUAUAGUUGAAAGUUGAAUAGUUACAGUAUGUGUGCUACUAUCUCUUAUAGUUUCAGAAAAGUCAUUAAUUUAUCUGUCUUGUUCUAUUAAUCCUGAAGAUCAAACUCACAUGCAUAUGUUGCUUAACCUGACUGGCUUGAGUAUUGUUCUGAAUGGAUUAUACUACAGAUUCCCUUCACUGUUUUUCUUCUAGUUAUCUCAUAGGAUUACUCAUGAGGCACAUCUAUUCUCUCCAUUUUUUAGAACAAAAAUGUGAUUAAUUUGGCAUGCUUAUGAGGAAUGUUGAAUAUUUUUGUGCAUUAGCUUCUUCUGGGAUUGUUUUGGUCGAUUUGUACCCAUUGGUCCAUUAUGGUGCUGAUCCUCUCUCCAUUUUUUAGAACCAAAAUGUGAUUAAUUCAGCAUGCUUAUGAGGAAUGUUGAAUAUUUUUGUGCAUUAGCUUCUACUGGGAUUUUUUUGGUCGAUUUGUACCCAUUGGUCCAUUAUGGUGGUGAUCCUCUUUACUUUAUUUGCUGAAUAAGCUUGAUCUUGGACUGAUCAUGUAUAUUGGAACGUACAAGACUCAUGUGGAAUUAGUUAAGUUGAUAUCAAGUACAUUUGUUGCAUGCUCCAUUAGUGGUUUAUACUUGAAACCUGGCUUGUCAUUUUUAGUAAAUAUUACAUCAUCAAAGUUGUUUUAUGCAUGAUGUUGGUAACUGUAUAUUCUCCUAACAGUUUUAUUGUUGUAUGCAGGCUGAUUGGAGCCUAUUUUUUCCUUUAAAAUACUAUUUUUUGAUAUCAGGUGCUCAUUAAGCUGUCUAAGAACAAGCAGAUCAUCAUUUCACCAUUUUCGGCUGCCCAAGUUAUGUCAUCUCUCUGGCCUAUUCUAGUCAGCACUAUCUUCUUUGUUCUUGACUAUAAAAAUUGAUGCAUGUGCCUUAUUCUAAAGUGGAAAAUCAUUGGAAAAAUCACUGUUAGCUUGUAAUGUCUGUUAACUUGUACUAUGCUGGUACUUAUCGUUUGCAAAAUAUAUCUCACAUUUUGAUGUUA